AUGCCCAACGUCAAGUCCGCCGGUGGUGCUGGUGCCAGUGCCAUCCCUGCCGGCGGCGACGGCGAGGUGGAGGCUGGGUUCGCCAAGCUGCAGGGUGAGGAUUUCGAGUACUACAUGCAGACCUACUCCAUCAUGCUGGGCCGCAACAGCAAGAAAUCCACGGUGGACGUGGAUCUCUCCAGCCUUGGCGGGGGGAUGAACAUCUCGCGCCACCACGCGCGGAUAUUCUACGACUUCCAGCGCCGCCGCUUCGCGCUCGACGUCAUCGGCAAGAACGGCUGCCUGGUUGAGGGUGUCCUGCACCUCCCUGGGAACCCUCCUGUCAAGCUUGACUCGCAGGACCUCCUUCAGAUUGGAGACAAGAAGUUUUAUUUCCUCUUGCCCACGAGGUCUAUCUUUGCCUCGUUCGCUGCUCGGCAAGCCCCUGUUAUUCCUCCACAGAUCCCGCCGCCAGCUUAUGCGCGGCCAGGGCACCCUCGUGUGUCCGAUUUCCAUGACCGCUUCUCUGAAGGUGAUUAUGGCCGGGACAGUGAUGACAUUGGGAAUGGUGUUGGGGAAGGUGGAAUGAAGGGCAAGCUGAAGAGAACCAAGAAGUCUCCCGGAGAUUUGGACAUCUAUGGUGGGCACAGAAUCAAUGUUGAAGCAAUAGGAACAUUGGGUGAAGACAACAGAUCAGAAAUAAGAUCAAGGGGUGACAAGGAUGUGGACAACCAGCACCUUCAAACGGAAGAGAAGGAAGUCGUGUCAUCUGUUGCGACUGUGUUAUCUGACCUCUGUGGCCCCGGAGAAUGGAUGCCUAUGAAAACACUCCAUACAGAGCUUAUGGACCAGUUUGGCAACGUGUGGCACCACAGCAGGGUGCGGAAAUACCUGACGGCGGACGACUGGUCGCCAAUUGAAGCCAAGGGGAGGCCGUGGUACGGGCUGCUGGGGCUGCUCAGGAAGUACCCAGAGCACUUCGUCAUCAACACGAAGUCCAAGGGCAGGGCGAUCUCGGAGUUCGUCUCGCUGGUUUCCUUGCUCUCCUGA
rnacentral:rRNA from 1 species